rnacentral:misc_RNA from 1 species
UGGGGAUACCUCCUGCUGCAUUAAGAGGCAUCAAAGAAGACGCGUUAUAAUUUUAGAGGAAAUCGAAGGUGAUGAUAAUGGGAUUGUGCUUUGGAGAACUUUUAUAACAAUGGAUUGAUUUCUUCGAAUAAGAGACUUGCUGGAAGAAAAUAAAAUGUUGCAAAUUAAAUCUCACUUCGAGUUUCAACACCAGUUGAGUUCUUCAAAAAAUUCCUUUAUGUUUACUAUGAAAUCAAAGUUACAAAAAAAAAAUUGUCAAAUUAGAACAAUAUUUGUCAAAAAUAUUCAAACACAACAGCCAAAAGAACCAGAAAACUGUAAAAACAAAACCGAAUUUAAAAAAGGACAAAACCAGUCAA